rnacentral:rRNA from 1 species
GCAUAUCAAUAAGCGGAGGAAAAGAAAAUAACAAUGAUUCCCCUAGUAACUGCGAGUGAAGAGGGACAAGCUCAAAUUUUAAAUCUGUCGGGUUUUUCCUGACCGAGUUGUAAUUUGAAGAAGCGUUUUCUGCACUGUUUGAUCAGCCCAAGUCCUAUUGAAUGAGGCAUCAUGGAGGGUGAUAAUCCCGUCCGGUUGAUCAUUGUGCUCUACGAUACGCUUUCAAAGAGUCAAGUUGUUUGGGAUUGCAGCUUAAAAUGGGAGGUAAAUUUCUCCUAAGGCUAAAUAACGGCGAGAGACCGAUAGCGAACAAGUACCGUGAGGGAAAGAUGAAAAGAACUUUGAAAAGAGAGUUAAACAGUACGUGAAAUUGUUGAAAGGGAAACGAUUGAAGCCAGUCGUACCUUCGGGUAAUCAGCCUUUCGGGUGCGAUUCUGUGGGAUGUGAGGAGUUAAACGCCUUCAUGUUUUGCAUAUUCGUGCUCUUGGGUGUACUUGCCCGUGUGGUUGGUUAACAUCAAUUUUGGACGCCAUAAAAUGACUGGAGGAAUGUAGCUUCGAUCUCGUAUUGAAGUGUUAUAGCCUUCGGUAGAUGUGGUUUUCGAGAUUGAGGAUUGCAACGGAUACCCUUCGGGGCUACCUAUCUGAUCUCUGAUCGUUGCUCUGGUGCCGAAAGCUUGCUUACGGUUAUCAAAGUCGAUGGUCAAUAGGUUAGAAUAGGUUAAAUUCGUUAAGGAUGUUGACGUAAUGGCUUUAAACGAC